rnacentral:rRNA from 1 species
UACGAAGGGGGCUAGCGUUGUUCGGAAUCACUGGGCGUAAAGCGCACGUAGGCGGAUCUUUAAGUCAGAGGUGAAAUCCCAAGGCUCAACCUUGGAACUGCCUUUGAUACUGAGGAUCUUGAGUUCGGGAGAGGGUGAGUGGAACUGCGAGUGUAGAGGUGAAAUUCGUAGAUAUUCGCAAGAACACCAGUGGCGAAGGCGGCUCACUGGCCCGAUACUGACGCUGAGGUGCGAAAGCGUGGGGAGCAAACAGG